AGAACAAGCUCUCCCCUUCUCAGGACUUCUGCUCAGCUGGUUUCAAGCUUUGUCCUUAUAAAAGCUGGCUUUGCCAUGGAGCCUGUUGCUGUGCAAAAUCACUAUUUCUUUUUUCCUUGGUAAAAAGUGGUGCAACCUCUGUCCAACCUAAGAAUGUAGAACAAAAAGUGACUGUGAAUGUGGGGCUGGGGAUGUGGCUCAAGCGGUAGUGCGCUCGCCUGGCAUGCGCGGGGUGCUGGGUUCCAUCCUCAGCACCACAUAAAAAUAAAAAAAUAAAGAUGUUGUGUCCACCGAAAACUAGAAAAUAAGUAUUAAAAAAUUCUCUCUCUCUCUCUCUCUUAGAAAAAAAAAAAAGUGACUGUUAUGUAACCACCCACUCAAAAUAAAUCUCAAAGAAUUUCCAGACUCCAAGGUCUAGAGAUUUUUCGGCAGUAACCCCUCUGGGUCACUAGAGCAGAAUUAAACCUGCUCCCCAAUCAGCACUGCACCUGGCCCUGUCCAGGGACUAAUUUAAAAUUGGGAGGGCAGUGGGAGGGCUCUAGUUGGUGGAUGACCUCCUACACUCCAGGCAACGUGAUUGGAAGAGGAGGCCAAAGGGCUCUCUGUUUGAUGCUCCAAAUGGCUACUUUCAACCUUAACCUGAUUAGAUUACCGCAGACACAUUUUUGUUGCUUGUUAGGAAACUCACUCUACAGGCUUAACUUUGAGAAAAGAGGACAUUAAUCUUACACAGCUGCUCAGGAGGCUGAGGCAGAGGGAUCACCUGAGCCCAGGGGCUUAGGGCCAAUCUGGGCGGCAUAGGGAGAUCCUGUCUCUUAAAUUAAAGAUGAAAAAGAAAAAAAGAAAGAAAAGGACAAAGGAGGAAGAGGAGGCAAAAUCCAUCUGAGUAAGGGCUUGACUUCUGAUCGGUUUCAAAAGGAGGGGGCAGGGUGUAGGCUGGGCUGGGGCUCAGCGGUAGAGCGUCACCUAGGAUGACAAAGAUAAAAAGUACUGUGUCCAUCUACAACUAAAAAAUAUUUUUUAAAAAAGGACACCGGGCUAGAUGGCAAAUGAUAACAGUGACAGUGGCCAUCUGUUCAGGCCCCCAAACUGCUCAGGCUCAGCGUGUUCCCUCCCAUUAUCUCCUGUGGUCCUUCCAAUGAACUGCCCUCAGGGCCACAAGUGACCGCACACACUGGAGCUUAGCCAGGGGUCCACAUACCAGCAGGAGAGGACUCAGGACCCCAUUUGUCAGAUGAGGAAACAGGCUCUACACGGGGAGGCCACCCAGCAGGGGGCGCAGAGGCAGAUGGAGACCAUAGGCCCCCAGCCUCCUCUGCGAUGCCCUCCCUCCCUCUGUUCCACAUUGCUGGCCCUCAAGCCUCCUUAACCUCAGUGUCCUCAGCUCUGUGAGACCUGCUGGCCUGUCCCAGAGCCCCCAGGCUUUGGGUCCUGCCUUGAGAGAGGGUCCUGGCCUCUGGGGCCUCCCAGCCCCAGCUGAGCCCUUUCUGCUGUCCUGUAGUGCCCCCCACCUUCUCCACAGAAAAUCUUAAUUGAGCUUCUCCAGAGACCCCCACCAAAAUUUGUUCUCAGGCUCUCAACAAAACUUCUGCAAAAGAAUUUCCAGGCAGGCAGGGGUUAAGCCUGCAGACACACAGUGAUAAGAAAAACUAACCCCAGGUCUUCACAAGGGCUCCUAUCUCAAAGGACCGUGCUCAGGGCCAUUUGGAUCCAGCUGGUGGGAAGAAAGGGGAGGGGGACCCUCCCUUUCCCAGACACUGAUUUUCACAGAGAGUGUCCUUGGCCUGAAUUGGGUGCCCACAACAGUAAAAGAAUAAAAAUAAAAAACUAUUUUUGUGGCCUUCCACAGAUUGUGAGCCUCUGAGCUCCCCCUCCCCCCAUACACUGGGCAUAAAGUUCUAAACACUCCUGAACUGGAUUCAGGGAGGAAUUCUUAGGUGAGAGCCACCUCUGAACCCUGCAGCCCAAUAAACCUGCUUCCUGCUAUUCCUUGGUGUCCAUCCACUUCUGUCCCUACUUCAGUUCUAGGACCGCGUGUGUCUGCGCUGCAAGGGUCACUGUGGCACCUCCUUCAGGUUGAGUUCUGUCUUCAAUCGGAAUCUUUUUGGGUCAUUCAUUUAGCAACUAUGGAUGAGCCAGGUAUGUGUCGCAUGCCUAUAGUCCCAGCUACUCCGGAGGCUGAGGCAGGAGAUUCACAAGUUCGAGGCCAGCCUCAGCAACUUAGACUCUGUCUCAAACUGAAAACCAAAGGGCCAGGGAUGUGGCUCAGUGGUAGAGCACCCUGGUACCACAAAAAAAAAAAAAAAAAAAGAGCAAUAUAUUUAUUAGUGGGCACUCCAACACGCCAGUCGGGGUGGCCUCAUUGAGGGGAGACCUGUGCAGACGUGAGGGCUGUGAGGGCCCAGGCCUUCUGGGAAGGCUGGAGCCUCCUAUGGGGCAGCCAGAAGCCAGGGCAGGUUUUCAAUGGCCCUGUGUUUUCCUUGCUAUCCUGACUUUUGUCCCCAACUUUGGGGUGACACUUUAUUUGGAAAAUCCUCUAACUACAGGAGAAGAUUUGUAAACAGGAACUGUUCCGUUAGAGGAUUUAACUGUUGUCCCCUGAGUUGACCCAGGUCCCAGGGCAGCCAGAGGCUAGCACCUCAUAGUGGCAUUUCAUUUGCUCCAGAGCCCGGGGGUGUCUGCUGGGGGUGGAGGCCACCGAGACCUAGAGGGCAGGGCAUAGUGCCUGCCUGUUUUCAUGUGCCCCUCACAGACCCUGCGGAAUAGGUCUCCCCAACUUAUAGAUGAGGAAACCGAGCCUCAGGGUGGGGUCCUAACCAGUCCAAAGCCACACAGCCAAGAGGUUGGAAGGUCUGCAUUUGAACCCAGAUCUCUCUGCAUCAUCUGAUUUUAGGAUCUGUAGUAGGCUUCCACAAGCCUGUGAACCCUCCAAGGCAAAACUAGAGGGUGGGGGUGGGGAUUAGCCUUUUAUAGGGUAAAGAACUGGCCACCUAGUGUGUGACAGCUGGAACUCUGCCCUGAGUUUGAAUCCUGACUCUGCCACCUGUAACUUGUGUGGCCUUAGGCAAGUGCUUGGGCCUCUCUGAUGCUGGAUUUCCUCCUCCAUGAAAUUUCUGUCUUCCAGGGCUGUUGUCAGGAUGCAAACAUAGGAAGCCCUCUGGGUGGUAUCUGGCACAUGGUAGGUGUUCAAUAAAUGCAGGUGCUAUUAUUGUAGGAGUUGAUUAUGUGUUAAUGGAAUGACAUGCUUUUAGAUCAGUGCAUCUAGUGCAAUCCCAUAUAUUAUUUUAAAUUCACUUAUAAAGGUCCAGAAGAAAAUACCCAACCGCAAAGUGGGAACAGUGGUCAUCUCUGGGCAGAAGGGUGCUGGUAGCUUAGGAUUUUGGUUUGUUGUGUUUUGCUUUGUUUUAAUGUCCUAGGGAUUGAAUGCAGAGGCACUCUAUCAUUGAGCUACAUUUUCAGCCCUUUUUAUUUGAACCCAGUCUCCUAAACUGAUAGGGCCUCACUAAGUUGCUUAGGCUAACCUCAAAUUUACAGUCUUUCUGCCUCAGCCUGCAGAGUGGCUGAGAUUACAGGCAUGAGCCACUGUGCCCAGCAGUGAGUGUCCACAUCAUUUUUUCUUUUUAAUUUGUUUAAUGCUUUUAAUUUAUAUAUAUAUUAUAUUAUAUUUAUUAUAUUAAUUUAUAUAUAUAUUAUAUUAUAUUAUAUAUAUAUUAUAUUAUAUUAUAUUUUUUUAGUUGUCAAUGGACCUUUAUUUUACUUCUUUGUACAUGGUGCUGAGAAUUGAACCCAGUGCCUUACCAUGCUAGGCAAGAACUCUUUCGCUGAGCAACAACCCCAGCCCAGCAUCAUUUUCUGUAUAGAGACAUAUUUAGAAAAGUUUCUGUAUACACUUGAUAAUCAGAAAAACUUCUUUGCUUGCUUUCCUUUUUUUUUUUUGUACUAGGGAUUGAGCCAGGGGGUGCUUCACCAUUGUUCUGCACCCUAAGUGAGAAACUGAUGUGACUCUGUUUUAGAAAAAACAGCCUCUACCUCAGAGCAGGGCCUGUCCAAAGGGGGGUGACCCUUGUUCUUGGAAAACCCACAGAGUUAUUUGUCUGUGAACAACAGGAGAGGUCUGUGGCGCCAGAUGUCCCUGACUCCGCAAUGCUAGUUCCUGGAAAGACCAAAAAGUGUUUGAGGCCUAAGGCCUGACCUUGAUAACCCAAGCAACCCCCAGCAACAACCAAUCAGCAUGAGACAGGGAAGAUAUCUGGAAGAGAAGAUAUCUUAUCCGGGGGAUCCCCCAGACCCCAGCACCCUCAAACCGGAGAAUCUGACACCAAUCGAGAAAUUCUUCAAAGAUCCUGGCGCUUAAGGAAGACACAGGCCGUGGCGGCCAGCGCCCCCAACCUGUCCUCCUGCCCCCGAACCCUUUUACCCAGCUCUGCAGAGCGGCAUGGACGAGGAACUCCUGUCUCCGCCACCGUCCCAGCCCCCUCCCACUAACACCCAGUAACAACCUUUUUCCCAUUCCUACCCCUGCCCCUGACAGUGGUGUAGGUGCAGUGGACUCACGCUCCGAGCGCCACCAAAAGGCUCCACAGUCUCUCCUCUCGGGGUGGCAGGACCCUGGACGAGGCGGGAUUCAGCCCCUUCACUGGCGGCCGUUGGCCACUAGUGAUUUGAAUAACUGGGGAAAGCAGAAUGCUAAGUUCUCGGAAACCCAUCAGACCGACCCUCCUGGACAGCGCUGUCUACCCGCAGCCCGCCUGGGACGACCGUGGACAGUGGCUGCGCACCCUCCGCGACCAGGAGAGGGAGCGCAGCCAGACAGACGGAGGGAGGUCGGAGACCCUGGGGAUGGCGGCGGCGGCCCGGACCGAUCCAGAUAUAAUGAACAGCGCCUUUCCUCUGAGCCGCCCAGACAGGACCAUGGGACUGCAUACGGCUGAAGGCAGGCACCUUGGAACCUACCCAUUUGGCCCGGGUAUACAGAGUUCAUCAGGGUUAGGAGGAAUCUCCAGGCGGCUGUUUAGAGGCUGGAGGCCUUUAGACAGUCCACCCCCAGAAACAGAGGAAAACCGGCGGCAGUAGUGAUGCCUUUGUAAAGCAGUGAGCGCCAGACAUUAGAAGAAAGUUACAGAAGCUGGACGAUUUGGAAGGGGAAACCAGGACUUGCUGGCCACAGCCCAGAAAGUGUACAACAAGCGGGACUGGCCAGAGGACAGACAAGUGAAGGCGACCGGGGAGAUGACCAAGUCCUGGUAACAGCAAUAAGCGGCAGCGACACCCUCCCCCCACCAGAGGACCGCCAGAGGGUAAGAGGAGCCCUGCGGGAGGAAGGCAGGAUCUGCAAAAGAAUCAGAGUGUCUAUUGCAAGGGAAUAGGGCACUGGCUCAAGGACUGUCCCAAGGGGUGGGGUUGUGGCUCAGUGGUAGAACACUUGCCUUGCAUGUGUGAGGCACUGGGUUCAAUCCUCAGCACCACAUAAAAAUAAAGGGAAAAAAAAAGGUAUUGUGUUAUAAAAAAAAAAAAGACUGUCCCAAAAGGUCUAGGGGCCAAGGAGAGGGGAGGCGCCUUUGCCCUAUUCUAAGCAUGAACAACCCAGAUAGUGACUAGGAGAGUUGGGGUUCAGCUCCCCUCCUCGAACCCAGGGUGACUCUUAAGGUGGAGGGGACUCUGAUAGACUUUCUGGUUGGUGGACGCUGGAGCUCAGCAUUCCGUCCUGUUGAAACUCCAAGGAAAGUUACCAGGAAAGACAUCCUGGGUACAGGGAGCUACUGGAAUGAGCCAAAUUCAUGGACUACCCGAGGGACAGUGGACCUAGGCAUGGGCGGGGUAUCCCACUGGUUCAUGGUGAUCCCAGAAUGCCCCUACCCCUUGUUGGGAAUAGACUUACUUACCAAAAAGCCCCAUCCAGGUAUUAACUCUUGCCCUGGAGGAUGAAUACUGGCUUCACCAGCAGCUGGUACCCAUUAAUGAAAACAUACAUUACUGGCUGCAAUCCUACCCUGAAGCUUGGGCAGGGUGGGGGGCUGGCAAAGCACAGGCCUGCAAUCUUCAUCGAGUUAGAACCUGGCGCAGACCAGUCAGGGUUUGACAUUACCCAGUGUCCAUGGAAGCCGGAGUGGGGAUAACAUCCCUCAUCCGGUGUCUGUUGGAAUUGGGGGUGCUGAAACCCUGGCAGUCGGCCUGGAACACUCCUUUGCUGCCAGUCCACAAGCCCCAGUCAGAUGACUGUCAGACAGUACAAGACCUGAAGGAAGUAAACAAGAGGGUGAUGGACAUCCACCCAACUGUCCCCAACCCAUACACCCUCCUGAAUGCACUUCCACCAGAACGGCAGUGGUACACUGUCCUGGACUUGAAGGAUGCUUUUUUCAGCCUGCCCUGGCACCCAAAAGCCAGAAAUUGUUUGCCUUUGAGUGGACAGAGGUUGAGAAAGGCAUCAGUGGACAACUAAUCUGGACCAGACUCCCCCAAGGAUUCAAAGACUCUCCAACCAUCUUCGAUGAGGCGCUGCAUGAGGACUUGGUGAGUUCAGAACAGAACACCCUGACUUAACCCUUUUGCAGUAUGUUGAUGACUUGCUGAUUGCCACCAAGACCAGAGAGGAAUGCAUGCCGGGACUAAGGCCUUACUCAGAGCCUGGGAGGCGUGGGUUAUCCUGCUUCAGCUAAAAAAGGCCCAAAUCUGGAAGCCAGAGGUAACUUACCUGGGCUACUUGAUAAAGGAAGGACAAUAGUGGCUCACGCAAGCUAGAAAAGAGACUGUGCUAAGAAUUCCGAGGCCCCAGACCCCGCGUCAGGUGAGGGAAUUCCUGGGGUCAGCAGGUUUCUAUAGAUCGUGGGUCCCUAGCUUUGCUGAGCUUGCAAAGCCCCUCUAUGAAGCCACUAAGGAAGGGCAACAGUUUCAGUGGACUGAGAAAAUGGAUCAGUCUUUUAACCAAAUUAAGACUGCCUUGCUGUCAGCCCCUGCCCUUGGACUCCCUGAUGUCACUAAGCCCUUUCACCUGUACAUUGCGGAGCACAAGGGAGUUGCCAAGGGAGUCCUGACCCAGUAUCUGGGCCCAUGGAAGAGGCCAGUGGUGUAACUGUCGAAGAGGCUAGAUCCUGUGGGGGCCGGAUGGCCACCUUGUCUGAGGAUGAUUGCAGCCACCUCCCUGAUGGUGAAAGAUGCAGAUAAGCUGACAUGGGACAAGAACUGUACAUCCCCACACCCCACACAGUUCAAGGGGUGCUGAGGCAAUCACUGGAUCGAUGGCUCAGCAACAUCAGACUUCCUCCCUUCCAGGGUUUGCUACUUGACCCUUUCAGAAUCAAUUUCCAGACACCCUCAGCACUCAACCCCUCGACCCUGCUACUGGACCCAGACUUGGAGACACCUCUGCAUGAUUGCGCAGGAAUUUUGGCUCAGGCUCACGGCAUUCAGCAUUUGAGAGGACCUUAAGGAUCAGCCUUUACCUGAUGCUGACCUCUUGUUGUCCAGGUGAUAAGCCUGGAGCUUAUUGACCUCUGUGGUUCACGGAUGGAAGCAGCUUUUUCUGAGCUGGUCAGUGCAGCGGUAGUGACUGAGACCCAGGUGAUCUGGGCUCAGCCUGUACUAGCUGGGACUUCCACCCAGAGAGCCCAGUUAGUGACACUGACCUAAGCAUUAACGCUGGGUAAGGACAAGAAGCUGACUGUGUACACUGACAGUCGCUCUGCAUUUGCCACUGCCCACAUACAUGGAGCCAUCUGUAAGGAAAGGGGGAUCCUGACCGCAGAAGGGAAGGCUAUUAAAAACAAAGAAGAAAUAUUAGCCCUAAUUAUUGCCCUGUGGCUGCCAAAGAAAUUAGCCAUUGUCCACUGUCCAGGGCAUCAGAAUCUCAAAGACCCUGUAGCCAGAGGUAAAAACCUGGCUGACAAGACGGCCUGGGAAGUUGCCCUUCGCAGGGAUCCUGUCUUAGUAACCAACCUUCCAGACCCAGGACCCAGACAGCUACCAGACCUUCCCCAAUAUACUAAAGAAGACCUGGACUGGAUUCAUAAAUUACCCAAGAAUGGUACCGGGUGGCGGAAGACCAAGUCACACUACCUGAAAGAAUGGGAGAACAGCUAUUGCUAAAAAUGCACCAGACCACUCACAUGGGCACUAAAAGAUGCAAGACCUGGUAAGACACACCAAAAUAAAGAUUAAAGAUGCACAUUCUAAGAUUGAUCAGAUUGUAGCUAGUUGCAAAGCCUGCCAGCUGAGAAAUGCAACCCAGCCUGAGGUCAACUCAGGAUCACGACAGAGAGGUGAUGAGCCUGGAGCUUAUUGGGAAGUGGAUUUCACUGAGGUAAAACCAGGAAAAUAUGGUUAUAAAUAUCUGUUAGUUUUUAUAGAUACUUUUUCAGGAUGGGUUGAAGCAUUUCCCACCAAGCAUGAGACAGCACUGAUGGUGGCAAAGAAGCUACUAGAAGACAUGCUGCCCAGGUAUGGCCUCCCAGUAAUGAGAGAGUCAGACAAUGGACCAGCUUUCAUUUCCAAGGUAAUUCAGAGCUUGGCUAAUGUUUUGGGGACCAAUUGGAAACUACAUUGUUCAUAUAGACCCUAAAGUUCAGGACAUGUAGAGAGGAUGAAUAGCCUCUAAAAGAGACCCUAACUAAAUUGUCCAUGGAGACUGGCAGUGACUGGGUGGCUCUCCUUCCCUAUGCCCUGUGUAGAGUGCAGAACUCUCCGUACAAAAUAGGACUUCCCCCUUUUGGAAUAGCGCCCCCUUUGAUUCCCGAUUUACAGUCUGACUGACUUGCUGAAUUUGAGGAUUACCAGCUUUUGCAAUCCCUCAGGGCCCUGCAGCAGGCCCACCAAGAUGUGUGGCCACAGCUGAAGGCCCUCUAUGAGACUGGACCACCUCUGGAACCUCACCGCUUCAGGCCAGGAGCCUGGGUGUUCCUUGAGAAUUGAUCAUGUCUAUGGCAGUGCCUAACAUUAAGGAUUGUCAUUUUCUUGAUCAAGAACCUAAGAACGGGGGCUGAGGGUGUGGCUCAGCGGUAGAGCACUCGCCUUGUACAUGUGAGACCCUGGGUUUGAUCCUCAGCACCACAUAAAAAUAUAUGAAUAAAAUAAAGGUAUUGUGUCCAACUACAACUAAAAAAUAAAUAUUAAAAAAAAAAGAACCUAAGAACCUAUAGAGUGAAAUUGUAUUGAGUAAUUUGAGUGAAUAACGCAUUGAAAGGGCAGAAGUGUGUGGACAUUCUUUAUUUCUCCCCUCGACUGCGUAUGUUGUAAUUUUGCCCCCUCACGACACCUGAAAAGACCAAAGAAUGUUUGAGGCCUAAGGCCUGACUGUGAGAACCCAAGCAACCCCCUAGCAUCAGCCCAUCAGAGUGAGACAGAGAAGAUAUCUGGAAUGCCAGGCGACCCCCAGUGGUCUCAGUGAUUGAUAACAUGUUAGGAAACCGUGUAGCUUAGAAUGUACAUCUUUGCCACUCCUCACAGCUUAAACCAAUCAGUUUAAAUGUAUCCACCCCUUGUACUAGCCAAUCACACUUACCCGACAACUUGUUCCCGCCAAUGAGUGUGCUCAUCAAUGUUAAGAAUUGUUUGAUUUUCCCGCGGUAGGGAAUGAUUUGCUGUGUGAUAUUAGAGUAUCUCCAAAAACCUAUAAAAUCUCACUGAACAAAGGACCAGGACUCACUCCUCAGAACCGCUGCAUCAGAAACGGUUGUGAGUCCAGGCUCGAGUUGCAAUAAAGACUCUUGUAUGCUUGCAUCAGAUUCAGCCCCUGGAAGUCUUUCAGGGUCCCUAAAAUCCAGCAUUACACCAGCCCUAUUUAUUUAUUUAUUUUGGUACCGGGAUUGAACUCAGGGGCACUCGGCCACUGAGCCACAUCCCCAACCCUGUUUUGUAUUUUAUUUAGAGACAGGGUCUCACUGAGUUACUUAGCACCUCACUUUUGCUGAGGCUGGCUUUGAACUUGUGAUCCUCCUACCUCAGCCUCCUGAGCCACUGGGAUGACAGGCGUGGCCACCAUGCCCUGCCCUUUUUAUUCUUUUAUUUUGAGACCUGGCUAAAUUGCUGAAGCUGGCCUCGAACUUGAGAGCCUCCUCCUUCAGUCACUGUACCUGGCCUCUUUUUUCCUAAGAGGAGCUAAGCCCAGAGACAAGGGCUAAUGCCUGCCUAAGUCAGAGGCAAUGCAGGGACAGAAAGUUAGUGACUGGGCCUCAGGAAAGAGAAAACAAGAGGCAGACCCAGGACAGGCACUGCGGAGGGCCUCAGAGGUUCUUGAGGCGGAUCUGGUGUGAUGUGGGACAGAUGAGGCUGGACCCCCACAGGAUAAUCAGGAAGCAGGUUUAUUUACGCUGCAGCAGUCCACAGGGGAUGGUGCCUAAACCUCUGGACCUUGGGUCUGGAAAUCCUUUUAAAUUUAUGCCCAGUGGUGGGGCUUAUAUUCUAGUGGGUGGUGACAUGGCAGGUACCUUUUGUCCCAUAUUCUUAGGCUACACAGAGGCUUCACAAGUUUUUACCACGAACACAGAAUAGUAAUUGUGUACAGCAACACGCUCAAUGGCAGACCUAGGUUUUACAGGAAAGUGAAGCCUGGCCUAAGCUGCAAACCACUCGGAGCUGUCUGAAAACUCCUGUGAAACCCUGUUGACACUCUUUGUAAAAUCUUGCUGAUAAGAACCUUAAUUGUGUGGAAUGUCCCUGCAAAAGCUUAAUUAGGACUCUUUUUUUUUAACAUCUUUAUUUAUUUUUAUUUUUUUUUAGAGAGAGAAUUUUUUAAUAUUUAUUUUUUAGUUUUCGGCGGACACAUCAUCUUUGUUUGUAUGUGGUGCUGAGGAUCGAACCUAGCACUCCGCGUAUGCCAGGCGAGCACGCUACCGCGUGAGCCACAUCCCCAGCCCAGGACUCUUUGAUGGAGAAGGGGCUCCUGGUAGCUGCAUCAGAAGGCACUAGAUUUCCACUGGAAGAAAAAGGUGAAUUCAGGGGCUGGGGAUAUAGCUCAGUGGGUAGAGUGCUUGCCUUACAUGCACAAGGCCCUGGGUUCAAUCCCAGGUGAAAAACCAGCCUCUACCUCAGAGCAAAGCCUGUCCAAGGAAGGGGGCAUGACCCUUGUCCUUGGAAAGACCCACAGAGCACUCCUAGGCACAUACCCACCCUGCUGAGUUGUUUGUCUGUAAAUAACAGGAGAGGUCUGCGGUGCCAGGUGUCCCUGACUCAGUCAGGCUAGGUGAGGACCCAUAGUAACUCCCUAGCAACCACCUCUCAGCAUGAGACAGGGAAAUACCUGGGACGCCAGAUGACCCUCCCAGUAGUUUAUGGUGGUUGAUAACGUGUUGGGAAACCAUGUAGUUCAGCACGUACACCCCUCUUGGCUUAAACCAAUCAGUUCAAAUGAAUCCCCCUCUUGUAGUAACCAAUCACCCCUACCCAACUUGUUCCCGCCAGUGAAUGUGCUAAUCAUGUUUUAGAGUUGUUAUUUGAUUUUCCUGCGGUGUGUGAUGAUUUGCUAAGAGAUGCUAUGAUGUAUGUGAAGUCCCUGCCUUCCCCAAAGAGUGUAUAAAACUGCUGCAAACCCUGGGCUUGGGCCUCUCAGCGUCACCAGUUGCUGUGUGCACACGCGGAGGACCGAGCUAGCUCGCAAUAAACACCUCUUUGCUGCUUA